AACGCACGAGACCUGCGGACCUGCGGAAGGAUCAUUAGUGAACGCCCUCACGGGCUUAUAACUAUUCCAAACCUCUGUGGACCGUGCCCUUCGGGGCUAUUUUACAAACAUGGUGUAAUGAACGUCAUAUAUCAUAACAAAACAAAACUUUCAACAAUGGAUCUCU
rnacentral:misc_RNA from 1 species